rnacentral:misc_RNA from 1 species
GAUGAAGAACGCAGCGAAAUGCGAUAAGUAAUGUGAAUUGCAGAAUUCAGUGAAUCAUCGAAUCUUUGAACGCACAUUGCGCCCCCUGGUAUUCCGGGGGGCAUGCCUGUUCGAGCGUCAUUUGUACCUUCAAGCUUUGCUUGGUGUUGGGUGUUUGUCCUGAGGGACUCGCCUUAAAGUAAUUGGCAGCCAGUGUUUGGUUUUGAAGCGCAGCACAAGUCGCGAUUCAAAGCUAUACGCCCGCUUCCACAAGCCUUUUUCACUUUUGACCUCGGAUCAGGUAGGGAUACCCGCUGAACUUAAGCAUAUCAAUAAGCGGAGGA